AUGCACUUCUCCCUCCCUCGUCAGACAGCCGCCACAUCCCUCCCUCGUCUCUCCCUCGUCAACACAGCCACGCCUCCAACCUCCCUUCCUCGUUACCACGGCAAACCAGCUCCCAUGGCGGCGACAGGGGCGAGGCGGGCGCGGGGGCUGCGGGCGGAAGCAACAGGGGUUGAUGGAGGGUCGGGGAGGGGCGGUUGUAGGCGGGUUCGGCGGUUGGGGGCGAGCACCGGACAGGCAGAGGGAGCGUCUUGGUCGAGGGACAGCGAGGCUCGUCGGCUGGGCGACUUCGAGCGCUGGACAGGCAGAGGGAACGACUUGGUCGAGGGACGGCGAGGCUCGCUGGCUUGGCGACGCGAGUGCCAGACAGUCAGAGGGGCUUGGCCGAGGGAUCAAGGAUUCGUGCAACUCUUCCAAUAG
rnacentral:rRNA from 1 species